UGCAUACACCAUUCUACAAGCACAUAGGGUUAUUUGGAAGGAAAGUGGUAUGCUUACUGCAGAGAAUAAACAGGUGAAACAUGGCUUCCAAGCAUAUUGAAGCUCUUGGAAACAAUACAGCUUCCAAAUAGGUGGCAGUGAUUCACUGUAGGGUCACCAAAGAGGGACACAGAGAUAAUAAAGGGGAAUAAUGAGGUGGAAGCAAAUGCUGAAAGGACAGCCCUAGAACCAGUAACUUGGCAACUAUCCCUCAUACCUCCAAGGGUAGAUCUAUCCAAUACUCCCUAGCCUGUUCAAAGGAAGAAUUAGACAAAGCUGAAAAAAAGGGGGCUCCGGUAGAGGCCUAGGAGGCCACGUGUGGUUAGUUGAUGAUCAUGGACAAUACUUAAUUCCCCAACUGCAGUUUGUCAAGCCAUCUGGGAGGCUCAUCAAGGAACUCAGUCCAGGUGGGAAUCCCUAUAUAAUUGGUUACUUGUGGUAAUGGUAACUUCUGGCAAGAAAAGUUUAAUCAAUGGGAUAGCUGAGACCUGCACCAUCCGUACAAUGAACAACCCCAAAACCAGCCUCCCCAAAGGCCCCCAGAUAAGGCCCAUUGAAACCAGAGAGCUAUAUCCUGACCAAAAUUUGAAGAUUGGUUUCUCUGCCUGUCGGGACUACUGGGAAAUUUCAGUUUCACUUGCUUGUAGGGUGCAGGGACCUUGCCCCCUGGUACUUCAGACCAGGGCUCUUAGUGCAAAGCGGAUACACCCAACUGACUCUUCAACACAAAAAUGUGGUGGUGAGCUGUCUGCAGAAAUGCUGCACCUCUCACACUGCAAUCUGGAAUAAGAGCUGUGAGCAAUGAGGCUGUACCAAACUUGCAAGAACUCCACUCCUUCCCCACUGACUAGAUCCUUAUGAAGCUGUUGUACCACAGCUGUACUUAAGAUGCAAGGACUCCACGCCUUCCCUGCUGACAAGACCCUGCUCAUCGCCUUUCCAGGAGAGCUUGUACUCUUGAGUGCCAAUGUGCACUUUUCCCAUUCUAUGAUGAAAAAUAAAACUACUUCUGAACCAAACUUGGUCUUGUUCUAUUGGCUCAAAGGACACCAGCCAGAAGGCCCUUUGUCGAGACCUGAUUCUCAAACCCCAUUUCCCCAUCUCUGACCUUGAGGUAACUAUAUCCAUGGAUACAUGUGUGUUCUCCUUGCUUUUGUGAUUCCAGUAUAGAC
ensembl:lncRNA